AAUAAUCAGCUAAAAUUUACUGUGGCUACAGUGAAAAUGAAAAACCUAUUGAAAAUGUCUGGAACGACGCGAGAAAACUUCAAUAUCAAAGACUAUUGAUUUACCAUUAAAUUACCACUUGGCCGACUUUCAUACAUUUCAGUACAUUCCCAUUCGUUUUUGACAGUUGUCGCAGCAAAGCACCAAUGAGUUGGGCCAGCGCCGUAAGAAAAGUCCAUAAAUAUUAAUUAGACACUUUUAUGUAGACCAAAUACCCACGUUUCCCGGCUACAGAUGGUAGCAAAGCAAACAAAAGCCGUUAAGCGCAGCUGAGCACGCACCGAUAGGAUCACAGCAAAUCCACUUGUUAGUACGGAGAGAAGUUGAUAAACAAACCGAAAUAAAGUGAAGUUCGCAAUUGCAGGCGAGUGUAAAGGGCAGUAGGUAAAACAAGCAGAGCACUCGAUAGCCAGCAACUGCUCCUAUUUGUACUUAUUUACCGUUGUCGUGCGUGGUUGCUUUCAUUGAGCUUUUUGCUUGCUGCCCUCGAAGGUUGAGAAAGAUUGAACAGCCGUCGUAGCCGAAUAGUGCGUGACUAACACUCGGAAAUGCGUAUACUCAAAAUCCCGUGCAUGAAGCACCAAAAUGAAAAAAAAUUUUCUACUAGCGGUCGCCCCUCGGUUGGCAAUGGUAAACCAUCGAGUGUAUUUCUCCAACGAAAAAUCUCCACAUAAAAGCCAUUUGCCUUUUGGAGUCGUUGUUUAAAUAGGAGGAGAAGCUCGGCUAAACAUCUAACAGACGUCUACCUAAUUUAGUCAAAAAGCACAGAAGUUCUUACUGACGAUUGACUUAAUUCUAAAAAAACACUACGACACGUUGAUGCUAAAUGGCUUGCAAAGAAUGAGUGGACAGAUUUAAAUGAAACCUCACUUACGUUCAUAUGAAGAAUGUGCCAACAUAAGAAAAUAAACAAUGACUAUUAGCAACGCCAACUCUUAUAGAAUAGCAUAACUUAUUGAACAACCUAGUAUAUUUAUUUAAUGCCCACUGUAGUAAAUUCACCAAUUUUAUUUUUCAAAAAAUAAAUUAUUUGAAGUUCAAAAUCAGUAACCUCAAAAACUGGCACGUUUUCCAUAUUGGAGCUGCCAAGCUGCCAGACAUAU